GCUUGGAAAACCACAGUGACCGCACACAAUGUCCGUCUGAUGCUCAUGAAACUGAGAAUGUGCAACACCUUCCUCAAGUUCCGGAAGUGGCAACUAUUGAGAAGGACCAGAGAUAGGCUAGCUGCUGUCAUCAAUAGGGAGCCCAUUGAUUUAACAUAUCUAAACUUCAUCACCUGCCAGGAACUGCAGCUUUUACGGGCAGGAACAGCUGAUGUGGAUAUU